CAUCUUGUUCACGAGAUAGAGGACAAUGAAGUAUUCUCUGUGGUUUUUUCUCUUAAGAAAACAUAUAGAAGAAAAAAGGUUUUUCUUCUCUCUCAAAAUCUCUUCCACUCCUAAAAAGUGAGAGAAGCCCACAACUUUCCUUAUAAUUCUCACCCUUAAGGAAAAUACAGUAGAUUAACUUGUGAUAGUGGCCAAUCUUGGAUUGAUGCAAUUCUCUAAAUUAGGAUUUCGUGAAGACCUUUUGGAUUCAAGGCUUGGAUAAUCACAACCACAAAGAAAAGAUCAUAGCAAAAGUAAAUAUCAUCAAAGCACAGAAAAAGGUGUGUUAUUAUGGAGAAGAUCACCAGGCUCAUUUCCCUUCCUCUCUUACUUCUCCUUUGCCUUGUUUCCAAUUCUCAUUCUCAAGAUUUUGAGGAUCAAUCAAAAACAUGCCCAGUGAAAUUUGCUUCAACAGGGACAUGUUCAGGGCCAUUUGGAAUAUCAGAAUGCUACCAUGAAGCAAUGGCAAAAUAUGGAAAUAUCCCACCAAAGGGUUGUGAAUGCAUUCCUAAUGGUGUUGACUCUCGCUUUUGCCUUUGCAAUAUUAUUUGUUAAUUAUAAACUGUUUUUGUUAACAGUGUGAUACAUUAAUCAAAUAAAUGAGUGCUUGUAAUACCAGGCCAA